rnacentral:rRNA from 1 species
CCUACGGGGGACAGCAGUGAGGAAUAUUGGUCAAUGGACGAGAGUCUGAACCAGCCAAGUAGCGUGAAGGAUGACUGCCCUAUGGGUUGUAAACUUCUUUUAUAUGGGAAUAAAAUGUUCCACGUGUGGGCUUUUGUAUGUACCAUAUGAAUAAGGAUCGGCUAACUCCGUGCCAGCAGCCGCGGUAAUACGGAGGAUCCGAGCGUUAUCCGGAUUUAUUGGGUUUAAAGGGAGCGUAGGUGGAUUGUUAAGUCAGUUGUGAAAGUUUGCGGCUCAACCGUAAAAUUGCAGUUGAAACUGGCAGUCUUGAGUACAGUAGAGGUGGGCGGAAUUCGUGGUGUAGCGGUGAAAUGCUUAGAGAUCACGAAGAACUCCGAUUGCGAAGGCAGCUCACUGGACUGCAACUGACACUGAGGCUCGAAAGUGUGGGUAUCAAACAGGAUUAGAUACCCCAGUAGUC